GGACCCACUCUUUAUGCCUGGGCUUUUCCCUCUUUCUCUCUCUGUGUGUAUCUCUCUGUGUCUCUGUGUGUCCUUCUCUGUCUUCCACCCUCCCGCUCUGCCCGUGAUCAGGACGUAGUUCUCAACUACCACUUCAGAGUCUGCCUGUAUGCUGCCGUGCUGGCUGCCACGACAAUAAUGGACUAAACCUCUGAAACUACGGAACAUGUAUUAAGGCAAACUUCUAAUAAAGGUCUAUCUUGUGGUACCAAAAGACAAGCCUGAGGUGAUGAUUCAAGUGCAGCUACUUUGGGAGAAGAUCAUGAUUACAAGAAAGGAAAGAGACCCGGGAAAAGAGCAUCCAAGAGGAAUGCUAUGGAGCCACAACUCCCAAACCAUGUGAACCACGUAGACUAGACAGGCUGGAUGGGAGCAGCCAUUCAUUCCUCUACGUCAUUCCUCCUGUGGCUGUUCUGUGAGAGGUACCAAGCUUGCCUCCUGCCACCCUAUCAUAUUGGAGGCGGAAGAGCUCAACAGCAAGAGAAGAAGUAGAAGCUGCUGCAAGAAGCCCAACCAUAUCAGUGACUAUUCUCCUCAUAUUGGGAGCAAAAGCAUGCAAGAAAGUACUACUGUUCUCC